AGUCGAGCGGUAAGGCCCUUCGGGGUACACGAGCGGCGAACGGGUGAGUAACACGUGGGUGAUCUGCCUCGCACUUCGGGAUAAGCCUGGGAAACUGGGUCUAAUACCGGAUAGGACCUCUUGUCGCAUGGCUUGGGGUGGAAAGAUUUAUCGGUGCGAGAUGGGCCCGCGGCCUAUCAGCUUGUUGGUGGGGUAAUGGCCUACCAAGGCGACGACGGGUAGCCGGCCUGAGAGGGCGACCGGCCACACUGGGACUGAGACACGGCCCAGACUCCUACGGGAGGCAGCAGUGGGGAAUAUUGCACAAUGGGCGGAAGCCUGAUGCAGCGACGCCGCGUGAGGGAUGACGGCCUUCGGGUUGUAAACCUCUUUCGACUCCGACGAAGCGAGAGUGACGGUAGGGGUAGAAGAAGCACCGGCCAACUACGUGCCAGCAGCCGCGGUAUACGUGGGUGCGAGCGUUGUCGGCAUUACUGGGCGUAAAGAGCUUGUAAGAAGGUUUGGCCGCGUCGUCUGGGGAAAACUCACAGCUCCACUGUGAACUUGCAGGCGAUACGGGCAGACUUGAGUACUGGAGGGGAGACUGGAAUUCCUGGUG
rnacentral:rRNA from 1 species